UGCCUGGAGUGAAGAUUCUGCCCAUUGGUCAAGAGACCUCCCUCUCAGAUGCUGGCUCUGCCCCUGCCUUUGGGGGUCGACCCUUGUACUCGCAGGACCUUAGGUGACUCUAUUCUACUUCUCUGAUCAUCCAGGAAGCCAACCUGCCUGAGGACGAGUCAUACUCUGUCCUCCCACCCCAGGCCAGAGAGUGGUAUCUGUCUUUCCACAAGUUGAGCUGGCCAUAAAGACAUUCUCUGACCUACUCUGUUUGAUAGUAGGUCCUCAGAUCCGCAUUCCAAAGGGAUCCUGUCCCAUACUUGGGAGCAAGAAAUGCCACACAGAGAGGCCAUGAAGAACUCAAACAGAGAGGCCUUGCUGGGUCCUUCUUUCAGUCUAUGACUCUUAGAUUACAGCCUUUUGUCCCAUCACACUUCUGCAUUCUGCACAGCCUUUGUGAAUUCUAAGUAUGCAAGUGGCCAGUUUCUUUGGAUAUCUGAGUCUUCAUUUAUGAAGACUCCAGUGUCAGGACCAUAUUGCGACUGAAACAAGGCAUAACAGGUCUUUGACUGGCUAUCCUGUGGAUGUGGACUCAGGCUAGCCUGCGCAAAGUGAAAGACAGGCAAUUAGAUUGAAAAAUACCUGUGAUUCAAAGAAGUCACAAGUCACAGAGACAAACUUUUCCCAGUGUGUUCGAGUCAGAGAACCUUUGCAAAGACCAACAGGCUAAAAGAGAAAAUACAAUGUCAUCUUGAUGCAGAUGAGCAGGUAACCAUGGAAGUCGUGAGCUGAGGCUGCAGAGUCUAGAGCCAGAGUGUGGAAUAAACUUGGGUCUCAAAUCACCCCUGGAGCAAAGCACCCAUCUAAUCAGGAACUUCUACUUUCAACUUUACAUGCGUGAGAAAUGAACUUCUAUCAUGUUAGAGAAAUCCUUACACGGCGCCCUUGAGAGCUUUCAUACUGCAAGUCAU
rnacentral:lncRNA from 10 species